rnacentral:sRNA from 1 species
GCUGGGUACAUUGGCACAUGCCUGUAAUCCCAGCAGCUCAGGAAGCUGAAGCAGGAGGAUUGCAAGUUUGAGGCCAGCCUCAUCAACUUAGCAAGGCUCUAUGCAACUUAGUAAGACCCUGUCUCAA